GGGUAAGCGGCGGAGGCGGGGCGGAGGCGGGCUUGGGACUGGCUGAGGCUCCGGUGGGUAGGUGGGCUCAGACCGAGGGGACUACGGGUCGGCGUUGGGCUCAGUGGGCUCGAACAAAGGACGCUCGGGCAGGGACGCGGCGCGGCGCCUCCUGACGGGUAGCUGGGCGGCCGGCCGCGGCUUCCCGGCCAGCCAGUGCCCUCCCCGCGCGGUCCCAGUCGGCUUCUCCUCUGAUCCCCGCGGCCAGCGCCGCGGUGCGGGGCCCGGCGCAGCGGCACCUGCUGCUGAGAGACCCCGCGGCCCGCCCGGGCGCUCGUGAUGGGGCUGAUCUUCGCCAAACUGUGGAGCCUCUUCUGUAACCAAGCUUAAUGAAUGAAGUGGUUCAUACAUCUCCAACCAUAGGAAGCAAUGUUGAAGAAAUAGUCGUGAAGAACAUUCAUUUUCUCAUGUGGGAUAUUGGUGGUCAGGAGUCCCUGCGCUCAUCAUGGAACAUGUAUUACACAAACACCGAGUUCAUCAUUCUUUUGGUCGAUAGCAUUGACAGAGAACGACUAGCUAUUACAAAAGAAGAAUUAUACAGAAUGUUGGCUCAUGAGGGCAACAAAGUGUCCAGCUAAAAACCAUCGCUUUCCUGGACUCAUUAGAAGAAGACAUGUGACGCAGUUCUGAGAUAUGCUAAAAACAACCACCAAAGGGAAGAAACGAAAUACUUGACGAUGAAGAGCACGUGGCUCCCAGACCUGCUGGCUUCUGGGGGGUGAUGGUGUGGACGCCCUGUUCCCUCCACAUCAACCAGUCAGAAGACUGUGCACGAGCUGAUCACACACCCUGGAACCCCCUGCCUCACCUGGCCUUUAACUACGCUUUGCUGAAAGCCUUUGGGGAGUUCAGGGUUUCCUUAGUCAUGAGCCACCCCAUCCUCCUUGCUCAGCCCUGCAACCAGCCUUCUCUCCUCCAAACUGGGAUGCGUUUUGUUUAGCCUCCGGAUGCGCCGGGCACAGGAACUUGCCUUCAGUAACACUGUUUUUAAUCCUCAGUAAAGUUUAUGCCCUUUUUUUUUUAUUCUCCAUCAAAGGGGGAGACUAAUAAUUUAGGAAAACCCUGAACCUAUGGAUUUGAGCUCUGAUCUCACUCCAGCUCCCUACCCCCACCCUCCUCCUUUUCUCCUCCUCUCCGGCCUCCCUUCCCUUCCUCUUCCCUCCCCUUUCCCUCCCUUUCUGUCUCUCUCCACCCCCUACUCCCAGUAGAUUUACUUAAUUUCUUGGCUCACCAGCUGGAUUCACAUGUGAACAGAUGUUUCGAUCAAUGACUUUGUCUAAGUGCUAAAAGUCACCAGUAGCAGGUUAAACCCAGCAGGCUAAUAAAAAGCGCCCCCAAGCGCAA